AUACUUACCUGACAGGGGAGACACCAUGAUCAAGUAGAUGGUUUUCCCAGGGCGAGGCCCACCGAUUGCUCUUGGGGUGUGCUGACCCCUGCGAUUUCCCCAAAUUUGGGAAACUUGACUGCCUAAUUUGUGGUAGUGGGGGACUUUGGUUGCACUCUCCCCUG